rnacentral:rRNA from 1 species
AGAGUUUGAUCCUGGCUCAGGAUGAACGCUGGCGGCGUGCCUAACACAUGCAAGUCGAACGAAGCCUUCGGGCUUAGUGGCGGACGGGUGAGUAACGCGUGAGAAUCUCCCUUCAGGAUGGGGACAACCGUUGGAAACGACGGCUAAUCCCCAAUGUGCCGAAAGGUGAAAGGGUUUCCGCCUGAAGAAGAGCUCGCGUCCGAUUAGUUAGUUGGUGAGGUAAGAGCUCACCAAGGCAGCGAUCGGUAGCUGGUCUGAGAGGAUGAGCAGCCACACUGGGACUGAGACACGGCCCAGACUCCUACGGGAGGCAGCAGUGGGGAAUUUUCCGCAAUGGGCGAAAGCCUGACGGAGCAACGCCGCGUGUGGGAAGAAGGCUCUUGGGCUGUCAACCACUUUUCUCAGGGAAGAAGAUCUGACGGUACCUGAGGAAUCAGCCUCGGCUAACUCCGUGCCAGCAGCCGCGGUAAUACGGAGGAGGCAAGCGUUAUCCGGAAUUAUUGGGCGUAAAGCGUCCGCAGGGGGCGCAUCAAGUCUGCUGUUAAAGGCUGGAGCUUAACUCCGGUAGAGCAGUGGAAACUGGUGCGCUAGAGGGCGACAGGGGUAGAGGGAAUUCC